rnacentral:rRNA from 1 species
AUGGAAAAUGAUAGUAUCAAAUGGGGACUGGGUCCAAAGCCCUACUAUACCACUAAAGCCUUAUAUACCUACCUAGAAAGAAACAUUGCUGGUUGUGAUUACCGCUGGAUAUGGAAAGCACAUAUUCCUUUGAAAAUUCAAAUUUUCAUGUGGCAGCUAUCGCAAGAUGCGGUGCUGACCAGAGAUGUGAUGAAACGUCGAGGAUGGAAGAGGGAACCCAAAUGCUCUUUUUGUGGGGAGAGGGAAACCUCCCAGCAUCUCUUUUUUACCUGCCCCGUUGCCAGAGUUACCUGGAGAGUGGUUGGGUGUAUGUUUGGCACAGACCUGUGCCCUAACAACUUGUGGCAGGCUUUUGUUUGGUGUUAUACUUUUUUCCCGGAUGGCGAUGUCUUUUAUACAGUGGGCAUUGCAGCUCUAUGUUGGGCUAUUUGGACCUGCCGCAAUCGAUCUACUUUUGAGCACAUCCCUCUCAAAACCUCAUUUGAAUGCAUUUUUUCUGCAUGUGCACUUCUUUGUUACUGGGCAGGACUGAUGAAGCAGGAGGAUGCGGCGAAUCUGAGGGCUGGAGGUGCUCUACUGAAGAACAAUGCGUCUCGCAUGAUGAGGAUUUGCGCAACGGCACAUCAGGAUGGAGGAGUGCACUGA